AGCCUCCGGCUCGUGGUGAAUCAUAAUAACUCAACGAAUCGCAUGGCCUUGCGCCGGCGAUGGUUCAUUCAAAUUUCUGCCCUAUCAACUUUCGAUGGUAGGAUAGUGGCCUACCAUGGUUUCAACGGGUAACGGGGAAUUAGGGUUCGACUCCGGAGAGGGAGCCUGAGAAACGGCUACCACAUCCAAGGAAGGCAGCAGGCGCGCAAAUUACCCAAUGCCGACACGGCGAGGUAGUGACAAUAAAUACUGAUACAGGGCUCUUUCGGGUCUUGUAAUUGGAAUGAGUACAAUUUAAAUACCUUAACGAGGAACAAUUGGAGGGCAAGUCUGGUGCCAGCAGCCGCGGUAAUUCCAGCUCCAAUAGCGUAUAUUAAAGUUGUUGCAGUUAAAAAGCUCGUAGUUGAACCUUGGGCCUGGCUGGCCGGUCCGCCUCACCGCGUGCGCUGGUCCGGCCGGGCCUUUCCUUCUGGGGAGCCGCAUGGCCUUCACUGGCCGUGUCGGGGAACCAGGACUUUUACUUUGAAAAAAUUAGAGUGUUCAAAGCAGGCCUUUGCUCGGAUACAUUAGCAUGGAAUAAUAGAAUAGGACGUGCGGUUCUAUUUUGUUGGUUUCUAGGACC
rnacentral:rRNA from 1 species